CUGCCUUAGGGAUUUGGCCUCUUCCGUUUCUGUUGAGACCCAAGAUGCACUCCCUGUUUCUGGACCUGGCAGCUUCCUCCUGCCCAGGGACUCGCUGUUACUCGGACCACUGCCAACUCCCCACCAAUGUUUUGGGGUCUACAGAGAUCCUCCAGGUGAAGCCGGGGUGGGUCAGUGAGCCUCUCUUCAUGGGCCUGAACCUGUUCACUCACCAGUGGGCUUCCUUGACCCCUUCCUCUUCCUCCUUUUCCCAAAGCCAGUGAAUCACCAAGUCCUGUAAAUUCUCUUAAACAUUCUUUCAGUGUAUCUGUUUCUCUUCGUUACCUUCUAAUUCAGGGGCCAGUCCACCAUGGCCCUUAGACUCAGUCUGGUGCUAUUUUGUAAAUAAAGUUUUAUUGGGACAUAGCCAUGAGCAUUCUUUGCACGACACCCACGCUGCUUUCUUGCUGCAGACAGGGUGGACCUCGCCCCAAUACUUGAGAUGUAGCCUUUCCAGAAAAGAUCUGCCAGCUCUGCCCUAACUAACCCACGCAUUCAGCCUUUCAGGGGAAUGAGGAAACUUCCUUUCCACUGGUGGCCCUGUCUCCAGUCUUGCUCCCUGCGUGCCGGCCCCACACCCUGGUCUUCCUAAAGUAAAGAUCUCAUUGCGUUGCUUGGCCACACGUGUUCCUGGCUCUGAGUGAUGCGCUCCUGAUGGUCCCUAGACACCUUCUCGUGGUCUGCAGGGCUCUCCGGCCCACUCCGGCCUUUCUGUUGCCAGCAUGGCAUGUUGCUCUGCAGCUGCAGCUGCCAAGGGCACCCAGGACCCUGAGUGUCUUCCCUCAGUCCGGGGCUUCUGUGUGCCGUUUCCUCUCCCUGGAAGGACCUGCUCUUGACGCUUACCUGGCCCGCUAGGAUGCAUCCUGUAGUCGUCAGGAAAGCCUUUCCCUGAGCUCCCAUGGACUCUGGUUCUUCUACAAGGGUUACACUGAAAUUGCGUUCUCUCUCCCUCCCUCUCUUCCCGCUCCUCUGCCUGCUCCUUGCUCUCUUCCUCUGUCUUUGACUCUCUUGCUCUCCCUUCCCUCCUUCCCCUUUCCUCUCCUUCUCCUUCCUCCUCAGACUCCUCUUUCUCCUCUGUCCUCCUCUCUCCCUCUCUCUCUCUCUCUCUCUCUUCCCUCAAGUGCUCUGGAUGCAAAACAAAACCAACAAUAAAAAAUCCACAUCUCCCUCAGUGGCUUCCAUGCUAGUGGGGUAGACAGAACUUAAACAGGAUUAAGAAGCAGGCCAGAGAAUGUUAGGAGGAUGUCACAAGGGGAAGAAGUAAAUCAGAGGGAAGACAUGGAACGCUGGGGCGGUGGAGGCCAGGGAAAGGGUUCCCGAAUCAGGCCUGAAGGAAGAGGGGAAGGAGCGGUGAGGAGACUGGCAGGGCCGCAGGCAGCGGAAGGUCAGGCACACAGGUCUGCGGGGCAGGCCGUGGUACCCAGCGGAGUGUAGGCCCGAGGCUGGUGCGGACGCUGGAGGAGACAGGGAAGGAAGAGGGAGGGGCGAGGGAGAGCCUCAGGGAGAGACAGGGCGGCGGGAGCCACUGCAUGCUACCGAGCGGAGGAGUGACGGGACGGACGUGGUUUGGGUUUUAAAAGCCACGUAACUGAGCUCUUACGGCGCUAAUAUUAGACAGACGCCGUCCUGGAGGGCAGGCGCGGUCACCAGGGCUUCCCAGAGGCCCGGGAGAGAUUCGCGGGAGGGCCUUGUGGAGGCGGAGCAGCCCCAGGGCAGUCUGCAGGCUGGAGAAGGCGGAGCGGGAGCUCACCGGGUCGCUCCUUCCGAGAGAGCCUGGCAGCCCGGGGUAGGGCGACGGGGUGUGAGUUCUGGGACCCACGGUUCGCUUCUGCACUGCUGCCAGUGGGUGGGGCGGUGCCCUCACACCACUCUAGAGCAGCCUCCUGGAGGCACGGCUUUCUCCGGCCAAACUGUCACUAAAGGAACUGCCACAGCAGCUUUGUGUCAUACUGAUCUUCAUUCUCAGGACACAGCUCAUCUGGGCUGUGGAAGAGCUCUGUGUGUUUUACAGGUGAAUGAAUGAAUGAAGAUGAAUGAAUGAAUGAUGAACCACUGAAUGAAUGCUUCUUCCCAGCAGCCAGAUCCCGGCUCCCACGGGCUGAUGAGGUGGAAGGUGCCCCACUGGCCAAGUCCCUGGGGCUCUUGGCUGCCUGCUUGGCCAUCGCCAUGGCAACCACACACAUCCAACUGGUUUUCCUGAUUGCACAAGCUGCUGGGCUUCGUUGUCCCCUGGAGCGUGUAUCGAACUCCACGCGGUGUCAUCCGGCUGUCAUGGCUCUGGGCAGAGUUCUGCAUGGUGACAGAGGUGGGCCUGGUGGCAAUGAGGUGGGCUUGGGGGCCGGGGGUCCAUGGAAGACUCUGGGUUUCCAACCAUCUCCAGGCGCCAGGCAAGGCCUCUGUGCAGGAGAAGGGGAAGUGGGGGAAAGCCCAGAAAUCAGCUGCACAAAUGGACUUGGGGGAUUUGUGGGUUUAGUGCUGUGAGCCAGGUGUCACACAACCUUCUGAAGUCCUGGGACCCCAGAGAGCCAUUGUGGGAGAACACAGACAGCUGCCUCUCAGCCCAUGGCCCUGUUCCCUCCUGGGUGCUGAAGGCCACGCCGAGGACUCUGGGUGCCGGGGAGGAGGACAGAAGUGGAGCAGGUGGUGACAAGCAUGAAGAAGAGGAGCCGGUGGGGACCUGAGCUCUGUGCACACCUGUGUUCCCGGAGGGACAGGGCCGAGGUUUGGGAGGGGCAGGCCCGGCUGAUGGACAUUGUGCAC
rnacentral:lncRNA from 1 species